UACAGGGGGGGCAAGCGUUGUUCGGAAUUACUGGGCGUAAAGGGUUCGUAGGUGGCCACUUAAGUCAGACGUGAAAUCCCUCAGCUUAACUGGGGAACUGCGUCUGAUACUGGGUGGCUUGAGUGCAGGAGAGGAAUGCGGAAUUCCAGGUGUAGCGGUGAAAUGCGUAGAUAUCUGGAGGAACACCGGUGGCGAAGGCGGCGUUCUGGACUGCAACUGACGCUGAGGCGCGAAAGCGUGGGGAGCGAACGGG
rnacentral:rRNA from 1 species